CCUACGGGGGGCAGCAGUGGGGGAUAUUGCACAAUGGGGGGAACCCUGAUGCAGCGACGCCGCGUGAGCGAUGGAGUACUUCGGUAUGUAAAGCUCUGUCAGCAGGGAAGAAAAUGACGGUACCUGACCAAGAAGCCCCGGCUAACUACGUGCCAGCAGCCGCGGUAAUACGUAGGGGGCAAGCGUUAUCCGGAUUUACUGGGUGUAAAGGGAGCGUAGACGGCAGCGCAAGUCUGGAGUGAAAUCCCAUGGCUUAACCAUGGAACUGCUUUGGAAACUGUGCAGCUGGAGUGCAGGAGAGGUAA
rnacentral:rRNA from 1 species